CACACACACAUACAUACAUACAUACAUACAUACAUACAUACACACACACACACACACACAGAUACACAGAUACACUUACCACCAACAUUCACUCACCCACAUGAAUACUCAGAAAUGCAUAGAAACAUUCAAAGGCACACACACAUACACUUGGCUGUUCCUAAAGCUACAGGUGAUAUUCUCGACUCUUACCACGAAGAUCUCACUAAGUUCUAACUCUGCUGCUCCUCCAGCCUUAGCAGAGAGAAACCAUCAUCAUCGUCAUCAUCGUCAUCAUCAUUAUCGCCAUCAUCAUCCUGCUUAAACACAACACAACAAAGGGGGCAGAAAAACACAGAGCAACACUGCAGGCUUAGAACAGAGCAGAGCGGAGCGGAACAGAGGGGACUUUCAGUCACAGUGUCACCGAGAGAGACCUCUGGUACCAUCAACCCCUCCCCUCCUGCCCCAGGACCUCGAGGUGACCCGACCCCCUGGGGACGAACACUCACACCCACCGAGGAAGAGGAUCUGACUCCUGGUGGUGGGUAACCAGGAGAGGAGAGGGCGGCACAGGGAGGGGAUUGUAUUGGGGGACUUU